AUGGUCUAGCGGUGAGGAUAUCGGACUUUAAAUCCGAGAAUCUGGGUUCAAUUCCCGAUAACCC
rnacentral:tRNA from 1 species